rnacentral:tRNA from 1 species
GGAGGGCUGGCCGAGUGGUCGAUGGCGGCUGACUUGAAAUCAGUUGGGUGUUGAGCCCCAGGGGUUCGAAUCCUCUGCCCUCCGCCA